rnacentral:rRNA from 1 species
AGUGAACGCUGGCGGUAGGCCUAACACAUGCAAGUCGAACGGCAGCACAGUAAGAGCUUGCUCUUACGGGUGGCGAGUGGCGGACGGGUGAGGAAUACAUCGGAAUCUACUUUUUCGUGGGGGAUAACGUAGGGAAACUUACGCUAAUACCGCAUACGACCUACGGGUGAAAGCAGGGGAUCUUCGGACCUUGCGCGAUUGAAUGAGCCGAUGUCGGAUUAGCUAGUUGGCGGGGUAAAGGCCCACCAAGGCGACGAUCCGUAGCUGGUCUGAGAGGAUGAACCGCCAACACUGAAACGGAGACACGUCCCAGACUCCUACGGGAGCCACCGUUGGGAAAUUUUGACCAUGGGGCGCAAGCCUGACCCAGCCAUCCGGCGUGGUGAAGGAGGGCCUUCGGUUUUAAAAGCCCUUUUUUUGGGAAGAAAAGGCAGCGGUUUAAUACCCCGCUGUCCUGACGUAACCCAAAGAAUAAGAACCGCCUAACUUCGU